GCCUAGCCCAGAUAGUAGUGGAAAUCCUUUCUAGUCCUGAACUUGUUUCAGGAUUAGAAAGAUUGCAACGAAUAGCUGGAAAAUGC
rnacentral:sRNA from 1 species